rnacentral:misc_RNA from 1 species
GUUCCCACACCAAGCUUCAUAUGGAGUCAUGUCCUGCAAGGCCUUAGUAGGCAAUCUGUUCAGCAAAUAUACAAAGAUAUUGACUGCCUCAGCCCAAAACUGAUUUGGGAUCUUUCUUUCGAGCAAAAGACAUAUGGCCAUCUCCAUUACUGUCCUGUUCUUCCUUUCUCACACGCCAUUUAGUUGUGGAGUGUAUGGUAAUGUCAAUUGGCGUUCA